UUUUUCUUUUAAAAAAGAAAGGAAAGCUAACAACGUUCAAAGCUUGAAACGCAGAAAAAAGACGACUGGAACUGGAUAAUUCAUUGCAUCACAGAGAGAGAGAGAGAGAGAGAGAGAGAAUGAGCUUGGAAUUAAGGAGGCUAACGAAGAAGAAAGAAAUAGACUCUCUAAUAAGAGACACUAUUGACAAGGUUCUCGUCCUCCGUUUUGGCCGCUCAUCCGACGCCGUUUGCCUUCAUCUCGACGAUUUGCUAUCGAAAUCAGCUCGUGAAGUAUCAAAGUUUGCAAGCAUAGCAUUGGUGGACAUGGAUUCGGAGGAUGUUCAAGUCUACGUUAAUUACUUCGACAUUACCUUGACUCCUUCUACUGUCUUUUUCUUUAAUGCCCAUCACAUGAAAAUGGAUUCUGGGAGUCCUGAUCAUACAAAGUGGAUUGGUGCUUUUCACACCAAACAAGACUUCAUUGAUGUUGUUGAGACCAUAUUUAGAGGAGCCAUGAAAGGCAAACUGAUUGUGAAGUGCCCUCUGCCCCCCGAGCGGCUACCAAAAUAUCAGCUAUUAUACAAGGACUUUUAAAGACACAGAAAGGAGAAAGACAGGGAAUAUGUACUGUUUGACAUUUUAACUACCAUCUGGAGAUUAAAAUGCGUCAUGCUUCACUAUCCUAGUUGGACAAAGGAAAUUGCCAACCAUCUGCAGGAUUACAGAUAUGGCUACCCAAAUUAUACAAAUUAAGUAAUUAUGAAUUCAAAUCCGGACCUAACCCUGCUGUGGUUUCACUAACUGUAAAAAUAAUGGCAUGCCCUUACCUAUGCACAUUGAGAUUACUCCAAAGCGGCAGUCCUUCCCGCAGCGCUUCAUCUCAUGCAAAAGAGUUGCAACACAACGAGCACCUAUGCAAAAAGCAGCAGGGAAAGAUAAUUACUCUUAAGGCAUAUUAUGUGAUGCAUACUUGGUAUGGUGCAUUGAGCAACAAUUUAUUAGAUAUCUCAAACCAUCAGUUUUCUGAGAGAUAUGCAUACCUGUGGCACCCAAAGGAUGACCAAGAGCAAUUGCACCGCCAUUGACGUUUACUUUUUCUGGAUCAAGCUCCAAUUUCUUGCAACAGUAAACAUAUUGGGAUGCAAAUGCCUGAACAAAGAACAGCUGGAAUUGCAAAAGCUGGGCCAACUCCCAUCACAGCAGGAUCCACACCAACAGCGGCAAAACUCCUGCAGAAAAGCGAGUCAUAAAUCCAGACAGGCAGAUUUCUUUAUCAAUGUCUGCAAAAAUUUAUUCCCUCGUUGCCCCUCCUCAGAUUCCAAAUGACAUUAAAAAGAAAAGCAGUACAUGUUGCAUCUAUGCGUUAAUGUUAACUUCUGUCAUUUCUGGAUUCUCUUUCCUUCCUAGGUUUGGAGAUUUCCAUAGACAAUCAUUUCUGCAUUUCUGCAUUUCUGCUUCUGUUUUCAAAUUCUUCAAUUGCUGUACUAAAAUAAAACUCUUAUUUAUGAAGUGGUAUCAUUUCCAGGAAUGAUGUUCUCUUCA